AUGUCCAAAGCAUUCACCAAGUCCCUCCUCUUGUACAACAAGAUCCUCAUCCGGCGGCUCAAGUCCCUCAUCAGCCGUGCGCCACCCGCGCCGACGUCGGCCACCGAGAGGCUGCCACCAUCACAGAGGCGCGAGUCGUCGACGGCGCCGCUGGACGCGCUCCCGGCACCGGGGACGAUGGACAACGACAACAAUAAUGGUGGUUGUGCUGGCGGCGGCGCCAUCGUGUGCGAGGUGGAAGGCGCCCUGCUGAUGUCCUCCUCUACCUUUCCCUACUUCAUGCUCGUGGCCCUCGAGGCCGGCGGGCUCCUCCGCGGCCUCCUUCUGCUGCUGCUCUACCCUCUCCUCCGCCUCCUCACGGACGAGCUCGCCAUGAAGGCCAUGGUGAUGGUGACCUUCGCGGGGCUCCGGAAGGACGCGUUUGGCCGGCUAGGCAUGGCCGUCAUGCCCAAGCUGUUCCUGCAGGACGUGAGCGCCGAGGUGUUCCACGCGGCCACGUCUGCUCCAGCGACGGCAGGGGCCGCGCGGCGGCGAAGGCGCUGCGUGUGCGUGAGCAGCAUGCCGAGGGUGAUGGUGGAGUCGUUCUUGAAGGAGUACCUCGCUGUCGACGCCGUCGUCGCGCCGGAGCUGAGGGAGCUCGGAGGGUACUACCUGGGUCUCGUGGAGGACGAAGGCGAGGCGAUGAGGCGGAUGGACGUGGAGGAGGCCAUUGGGGCCAAGGGCGGCGCCGUCGUCGGCAUUGGUGGACUGGGGUGCUCGUUUCGGCACAUCUUCCAAAAGUACUGCAAGGAGGUGUACGUGCCGACGGAGUCGACGCGGCGCCGGCGCGGGGCGCUGCACCCGCGGCGGUACCCGAAGCCCCUGGUGUUCCACGACGGCCGCACCGCGUUCCGGCCGACGCCCGCCGCCACGCUCGCCAUGUUCGUGUGGCUCCCGCUCGGUGCGCCGCUCGCCGUGCUCCGCACUGCCGUCUUCCUCCUGCUCCCCUUCUCCCUCUCGGUGCCGCUCCUCGCCAGCCUCGGCAUGCACAACCGCAUGAUCGCAUCGUCGUUGCCGUCUGCCGGGGACAAGAGCAAGGGCAACCUCUUCGCGUGCAACCACCGGUCGCUGCUGGACCCGCUCUGCGUGUCCGCUGCCGCCGGCCGGCGCGACCUCGCCGCGGCCACCUACAGCAUCAGCCGCCUGUCGGAGAUGCUCGCGCCGAUCCCCACGUUCCGCCUCACCCGCGACCGCGCCGCCGACCGCGGGGCCAUGCAGGCACAGCUCGCCCGCCGCGGCGGCCGCGGCGGGCUGGUGGUGUGCCCGGAGGGCACCACGUGCAGGGAGCCGUUCCUGCUGCGGUUCAGCCCACUGUUCGCGGAGCUGGCUGCCGGCGGCGUGGACGUGGUGCCCGUGGCGCUGCACCUGGCGGUGGACAUGUUCCACGGCACGACGGCGGGGGGCAGGAAGAUGCUGGACCCGCUGUACCUGCUGAUGAACCCGGUGCCGUCGUACCUCGUCCAGUUCCUCGACCCCGUCGAGUGCGGCGACCAGGAGGCGCGCGCCGUGGCUAACGAGGUGCAGCGGCGGGUGGCAGAGGCCCUCGGGUACGAGCGCACCGGGCUGACGAGGAGGGACAAGUACCUCAUCCUCGCCGGCAACGAAGGGGUCGUCGGCGCCGCCGCCUCCCACGACGGCGGCCCGAAGAAUUAG
rnacentral:rRNA from 1 species